rnacentral:rRNA from 1 species
UACGUAGGGUGCAAGCGUUGUCCGGAAUUAUUGGGCGUAAAGAGCUCGUAGGCGGUCUGUCGCGUCGGCUGUGAAAACCUGGGGCUUAACUCCGGGCCUGCAGCCGAUACGGGCAGACUAGAGUUCGGCAGGGGAGACUGGAAUUCCUGGUGUAGCGGUGAAAUGCGCAGAUAUCAGGAGGAACACCGGUGGCGAAGGCGGUUCUCUGGGCAUGUCCUGACGCUGAGGAGCGAAAGUGUGGGGAGCGAACAGG